GACAUCGUGGCCGAGUGGUCAAGGCGGCAGCCUCGAAGCGGUUCGACCGAGCGUAGCUCGGAACUACAACCCAGUCAGCUGCUGGGGCAACCCGCGCAGGUUCGAAUCCUGUCGAUGUCG
rnacentral:tRNA from 1 species